GGGUUGUGAGGUUAAGCGACUAAGCGUACACGGUGGAUGCCCUGGCAGUCAGAGGCGAUGAAGGGCGUGCUAAUCUGCGAUAAGCGCCGGUAAGGUGAUAUGAACCGUUAUAACCGGCGAUACCCGAAUGGGGAAACCCAGUGUGUUUCGACACACUAUCAUUAACUGAAUCCAUAGGUUAAUGAGGCGAACCGGGGGAACUGAAACAUCUAAGUACCCCGAGGAAAAGAAAUCAACCGAGAUUCCCCCAGUAGCGGCGAGCGAACGGGGAGGAGCCCAGAGCCUGAAUCAGCAUGUGUGUUAGUGGAAGCGUCUGGAAAGGCGCGCGAUACAGGGUGACAGCCCCGUACACAAAAGCGCACAUGCUGUGAGCUCGAUGAGUAGGGCGGGACACGUGGUAUCCUGUCUGAAUAUGGGGGGACCAUCCUCCAAGGCUAAAUACUCCUGACUGACCGAUAGUGAACCAGUACCGUGAGGGAAAGGCGAAAAGAACCCCGGCGAGGGGAGUGAAAAAGAACCUGAAACCGUGUACGUACAAGCAGUGGGAGCCCCACCACUAAGCCAGUGGUGAACUCCACAUACGCAUCCUUUGCUGAGGAUACGGUUAACGGAGCGCAAGCGACGUUCAACCUCAAAAGAAGCAGAGGGGGCUUAGUGGUGGGGUGACUGCGUACCUUUUGUAUAAUGGGUCAGCGACUUAUAUUCUGUAGCAAGGUUAACCGAAUAGGGGAGCCGGAGGGAAACCGAGUCUUAAUUGGGCGUUAAGUUGCAGGGUAUAGACCCGAAACCCGGUGAUCUAGCCAUGGGCAGGUUGAAGGUUGGGUAACACUAACUGGAGGACCGAACCGACUAAUGUUGAAAAAUUAGCGGAUGACCUGUGGCUGGGGGUGAAAGGCCAAUCAAACCGGGAGAUAGCUGGUUCUCCCCGAAAGCUAUUUAGGUAGCGCCUCGUGAAUUCAUCUCCGGGGGUAGAGCACUGUUUCGGCUAGGGGCCAUCCCGGCUUACCAACCCGAUGCAAACUGCGAAUACCGGAGAAUGUUAUCACGGGAGACACACGGCGGGUGCUAACGUCCGUCGUGAAGAGGGAAACAACCCAGACCGCCAGCUAAGGUCCCAAAGUCAUGGUUAAGUGGGAAACGAUGUGGGAAGGCCCAGACAGCCAGGAUGUUGGCUUAGAAGCAGCCAUCAUUUAAAGAAAGCGUAAUAGCUCACUGGUCGAGUCGGCCUGCGCGGAAGAUGUAACGGGGCUAAACCAUGCACCGAAGCUGCGGCAGCGACGCUGAUGCGUUGUUGGGUAGGGGAGCGUUCUGUAAGCCUGCGAAGGUGGCCUGUGAGGGUUGCUGGAGGUAUCAGAAGUGCGAAUGCUGACAUAAGUAACGAUAAAGCGGGUGAAAAGCCCGCUCGCCGGAAGACCAAGGGUUCCUGUCCAACGUUAAUCGGGGCAGGGUGAGUCGACCCCUAAGGCGAGGCCGAAAGGCGUAGUCGAUGGGAAACGGGUUAAUAUUCCCGUACUUGGUGUUACUGCGAAGGGGGGACGGAGAAGGCUAUGUUGGCCGGGCGACGGUUGUCCCGGUUUAAGCGUGUAGGUGUGUGUUCCAGGUAAAUCCGGUUCACUUUAACACUGAGGCGUGAUGACGAGGCACUACGGUGCUGAAGCAACAAAUGCCCUGCUUCCAGGAAAAGCCUCUAAGCAUCAGGUAACAUCAAAUCGUACCCCAAACCGACACAGGUGGUCAGGUAGAGAAUACCAAGGCGCUUGAGAGAACUCGGGUGAAGGAACUAGGCAAAAUGGUGCCGUAACUUCGGGAGAAGGCACGCUGACAUGUAGGUGAAGUGAUUUACUCAUGGAGCUGAAGUCAGUCGAAGAUACCAGCUGGCUGCAACUGUUUAUUAAAAACACAGCACUGUGCAAACACGAAAGUGGACGUAUACGGUGUGACGCCUGCCCGGUGCCGGAAGGUUAAUUGAUGGGGUCAGCGCAAGCGAAGCUCCUGAUCGAAGCCCCGGUAAACGGCGGCCGUAACUAUAACGGUCCUAAGGUAGCGAAAUUCCUUGUCGGGUAAGUUCCGACCUGCACGAAUGGCGUAAUGAUGGCCAGGCUGUCUCCACCCGAGACUCAGUGAAAUUGAACUCGCUGUGAAGAUGCAGUGUACCCGCGGCAAGACGGAAAGACCCCGUGAACCUUUACUAUAGCUUGACACUGAACAUUGAGCCUUGAUGUGUAGGAUAGGUGGGAGGCUUUGAAGUGUGGACGCCAGUCUGCAUGGAGCCGACCUUGAAAUACCACCCUUUAAUGUUUGAUGUUCUAACGUGGACCCGUAAUCCGGGUUGCGGACAGUGUCUGGUGGGUAGUUUGACUGGGGCGGUCUCCUCCUAAAGAGUAACGGAGGAGCACGAAGGUUGGCUAAUCCUGGUCGGACAUCAGGAGGUUAGUGCAAUGGCAUAAGCCAGCUUGACUGCGAGCGUGACGGCGCGAGCAGGUGCGAAAGCAGGUCAUAGUGAUCCGGUGGUUCUGAAUGGAAGGGCCAUCGCUCAACGGAUAAAAGGUACUCCGGGGAUAACAGGCUGAUACCGCCCAAGAGUUCAUAUCGACGGCGGUGUUUGGCACCUCGAUGUCGGCUCAUCACAUCCUGGGGCUGAAGUAGGUCCCAAGGGUAUGGCUGUUCGCCAUUUAAAGUGGUACGCGAGCUGGGUUUAGAACGUCGUGAGACAGUUCGGUCCCUAUCUGCCGUGGGCGCUGGAGAACUGAGGGGGGCUGCUCCUAGUACGAGAGGACCGGAGUGGACGCAUCACUGGUGUUCGGGUUGUCAUGCCAAUGGCACUGCCCGGUAGCUAAAUGCGGAAGAGAUAAGUGCUGAAAGCAUCUAAGCACGAAACUUGCCCCGAGAUGAGUUCUCCCUGAGACUUUAGGUCUCCUGAAGGAACGUUGAAGACGACGACGUUGAUAGGCCGGGUGUGUAAGCGCAGCGAUGCGUUGAGCUAACCGGUACUAAUGAACCGUGAGGCUUAACCUUACAACGCCGAAG
rnacentral:rRNA from 1 species